GGAGGUGAAGAAGACCUGCUACUCUUCAAUGGCAGAAGUAGAGAACACUAAUUCUAUCCGGUCUCAGAAGACGAGAUGGCAAGCUACGAGCCUGGAGACGGGGACUAUUGAUUCAGUUACUCCAAGAGACCUGAUGCAACUGCAGAUUUGAGUGGUGCUAUUGAGGCUGGAAACAAGGAGGACAUUGAGAAGUACAGCAAAUGAACUGUGAAGUAUUAUAACCAUCCACUUCAAAGCAAUUGAACCAAGUACUCUUAUUA